rnacentral:rRNA from 1 species
AACGAACGCUGGCGGCGUGCCUAACACAUGCAAGUCGCGCGAGAAAGUCCGCAAGGAUGAGUAAAGCGGCGAACGGGUGAGUAACACGUAGGUAACCUGCCUUACAGUCUGGGACAACCUGUCGAAAGACGGGCUAAUACUAGAUAAGACCACGACUCUUUCGGGAGCAGUGGUAAAAGAUGGCCUCUUCAUGAAAGCUAUCGCUGAAAGAUGGGCCUGCGCACCAUAGCUAGUUGGUAGGGUAAUGGCCUACCAAGGCUACGAUGGUUAGCUGAUCUUAGAGGAUGAUCAGCCACACUGGAACUGAAACACGGUCCAGACUCCUACGGGAGGCAGCAGUGGGAAUAUUGCGCAAUGGGGAAACCCUGACGCAGCAACGCCGCGUGAGUGACGAAGGCCUU